UGCACUUUCCAAGUAAGUGGCGAACGGGUGAGUAACACGUGAAUAACCUACCUCAAAGUCUGGGAUAACCAUUGGAAACAGUGACUAAUACCGGAUAAAACCCAAGUGCACAUGCACUAAGGUUAAAAGCUGCGUUUGCAGCGCUUUAAGAUGGAUUCGCGGUGCAUUAGUUAGUUGGUGAGGUAAAGGCUCACCAAGACGAUGAUGCAUAGCCGAGUUGAGAGACUGACCGGCCACAUUGGGACUGAGACACGGCCCAAACUCCUACGGGAGGCUGCAGUAGGGAAUCUUCCACAAUGGGCGCAAGCCUGAUGGAGCAACGCCGCGUGUGUGAUGAAGGCUUUCGGGUCGUAAAGCACUGUUGUAUGGGAAGAACGGGUUUAAGAGGAAAUGCUUAAACAGUGACGGUACCAUACCAGAAAGGGACGGCUAAAUACGUGCCAGCAGCCGCGGUAAUACGUAUGUCCCGAGCGUUAUCCGGAUUUAUUGGGCGUAAAGCGAGCGCAGACGGUUGCUUAAGUCUGAAGUGAAAGCCCACAGCUCAACUGUGGAAUGGCUUUGGAAACUGGGCAACUUGAGUGCAGUAGAGGUAAGUGGAACUCCAUGUGUAGCGGUGGAAUGCGUAGAUAUAUGGAAGAACACCAGUGGCGAAGGCGGCUUACUGGACUGCAACUGACGUUGAGGCUCGAAAGUGUGGGUAGCAAACAGGAUUAGAUACCCUGGUAGUCCACACCGUAAACGAUGGAUACUAGUUGUUAGAGGGUUUCCGCCCUUUAGUGACGAAGCAAACGCAUUAAGUAUCCCGCCUGGGGGAGUACGACCGCAAGGUUGAAACUCAAAGGAAUUGACGGGGACCCGCACAAGCGGUGGA
rnacentral:rRNA from 1 species